AGUUCCGGCGUGCAUGAAUGGAUCAACGAGGUCCCCACUGUCCCGGCCUGGGGCCCGGCGAACCCACCUCUAGGUGCACAGUCCUGGGACCCCCGACGGGGCGAGAAGUCCCUGUGGAGCUUCACUGCAGCCUGUCGUUGCGGAGGGGCGGGGGAUGCAGAGCGUAGGCAGGAGCGAUGAAACGGGGCCUCCGGGUCCCGUGGAUGCGGUCCUGGAACACUGCCCAUUCUCCGCCCCUCCGCUAACCUGGGGGCGACCCCGGGGACAGCGGCAGGCGGGCAGUUCGGCUGGGGCGGCACACCCCUGAAAAGAUAUCGGGGGUGCCCUAAGCUCGGCUCAGGCGGGUCAGGACUCCGCCGUAGAGUGUAAGGGCAAAAGCCGGGCUGACUGCGCCCUUGAACGCGAGGGGCGCAGGCGGGAAACCGGGGCCUAGAGAACGCUCGUGCCCCCACCAGUGGGGGCCGGGCAUGACAGAAAAGUUACCCCAGGAAUAACCGGCUCGUCGCGGGUGAGAGUCCCCAUCGACCCCGCGGUUUGGUACCCAGACGUCGUCUCUUCCCAUCCUGGCGGUGCAGCAGCCGCCAAGGGUGGGGCUGCCCGCCCAUUA
rnacentral:rRNA from 1 species